GAAAAAGAAUCUAAAAAUAGUAAAAUGGGUCCCAUAUCCGGGUCCCAUGCACAGUAGAUCUCAUUUUUUCCCUUUCAAGAUGCUUACUUUGCUUUUCUAUCCAUUUUCAAUUUUCAUGGUGUUGCUACAAUUUUAAAGGUAUUUCUUGAUUCAUUUGAUUUUCUUUUCUCUCCAUCUUCCAUUUUUCCAACAAAUGUUGUUUGCCAAAAAAGGGAAAACUAAACUGUGAGGUCUAAUCUUCAAUUUUUCCUUUUGUUUCUUUAGAUCUCCAACAUGCAAUAUGUAGAAUCACUGUACUCAUUUCUUUUUUGUCUCCAUUUAGAAAUUACCAACAAAAAUGACAUCUUCUUUAUUUUUUUCUCGGUGGUUAUGAUUUUUUUCUUCUACAACCUUUGAUACAAAAAAUUCUCGAUUAACUUUUUCUCGAUCUUGUUGAAUUUAGGAGUCGGAUCAACAUCAAGUAUUUUUUUUAAUGAUUCAAGAUCUUUUUAUGAACUUUGAGAUCUAGGUCCUUUGGUUUGAUACCUUUGUAUCCGAGAAUCAACAAAUUUGUAGUUUGUCGAGGUCUGCAACCAUGGCAUAUGCGUUGUCUCCUUUGUUUGAUUUUAUUGAUUUGAUUCAAGGGUAUAAAGGUUAAGAUAUACCAUUUCACAUAUUCUUCGUCGUCAUCUUCGUCGUCGUCAAUAUUUACUCACCCCCAACAUAUGGUCGGCGCUGAAUCUUGAAAUGAAGUUUUUUUGUAGUGGUGAAAUUGGUGUGAAAUAACAGAAUCUUCUUUUGUAAGCUGACAGGAAAACCGUCUCCUGCUUGUUUUAGGUCACUUAUAUAUUAGUAGGGUUCUUCAGAAGUGAACCGUAACUGCUAAGUCAACUGCAAAAUUGACUUAUUGUCUUAUUGGUAUUGAGUUAUCGAAUAAACAGUUAGAAAACGGAUUAAAAUUUUAUAGUUAAUGAUUUAUCGCUGCAGGGUGGAUUACUCAAUUUUAUUAUUGGGUAAACCGUUAAGAACUAUUAUAACUAAUUCUUGCCAUUAGCUAUAUACUUUAAAGUACCUACUGUUAACCCUAAAGCUUCAUUUAAUAUUCUACUGCUCCUUAAAAUUAAUCAAAUUAGAACAUCGCUCUUUAAAGAUCAAAUCACAAAAAGUUGUUUUACUCGCUAUUUUGGACUUCCGAUUAUGACAAGAGAGCUACAUGUUUUAUUAGCUUGUUACAGGCAUCAUAGUUAUAUGACUCGAUAUGAUUUAUGAGUUGAAUUUCUUACUGUUCUACUAGCUUGUUAGUCUGGAGUUUGGACCAUACUAGGCUAAUCUUCACUUCUAAUACAUAAAUAUGUAUACUUGAAGUAUAUUUUUGUUAAUAUUUGUUAAGUAAUUUAUGUGUAUACAUCCUUAAAAUUUAAGCUUUUAUAUAUUUUUUUACUGUGAUUUAAAUUAUAAAAUUGUAAGCUUAAAUAGAGUAGGAAAAAUAAUUUUGUGGUAGAUCAAUAUAUUGGUGAGUGAAACUGUGAAAGUGAAAGAAGAGAACAUGAAAUGGUUGAGCCAAUACAUCAUCCGUUAAUCACUUGAUAAUUACUAAUUCGAAGCGAACCAAUCGAUAUCUUAUUGGUUGAUUAGUGAAUCAAUAUAUUUAAUAGGUGAUAUUAGACAAGCCAAACUGUUAAGCAUAUUUAUCCGUUCAAUCCGUCCAAUAAGCAGCCCUAUUAAUAUUAGUAAUAAUGACAUAAUUAAUUUUUUUUUCACAUUUACUCUUAGUCAUAAAUAUGAAGAUAUAUCAAUAUAGUGCAAAAAAAAAGUAUUAAAUAGAGGAGUAAUAACAAAAGGUAGUUUAGCAUGUAAUUAAUCUUAUCUAAUAAAGAGAGUGCAAAUAACAAUGAUGAUAAUUAUUUAGGAAUGAACGGAGUAUAAUUUUGUCUUAAAACAUAUCGAAGCACUAAAGUUAAAAUGAUACAUAUAUUGAAAUGAAAAAAUAUUAACAAAAAAUGCAUCAUUUUUAUAAAUAAAUUAUAAAUAGUACAAUUGUUAUGAAAUAAAAAAAAUACCAAGGUAACAAUAGGAUAACAAAGAAGAUGGGAAAAAAGAUAUUUUAUUUCUUUCAAAUUUGUGUAUAAAUGAACUUGAUUGACUUCAUAUAUAUAUAUGGAGAGAGAGAAGUUGUUGUGUAAGCUGCCUACUUGAUUGCAAGUUUAUCCAAGAAACUAGUGAGCUUAUUCGUGCUUCUCGCUAUUUAAAAAUGAUAAAAUAUUAAUAAUUUAAUUAAAUAUAAUGUACAUAGAAGGGGUAUUUAUAAUCUCCCCCGCCCCACUCUUUCUACACACGCGUAUAAUUAAUGUUAUAGAAGAAAACAUUUGAUUAGUAGUUACUUGAUUUUCAACAAAUUCAUAAGUUAUUAUUUUGAAUUAAAGAAAAUUAUAAACUUACAACAAUAGAAAAUUCUUAGAAAAUACAAAAUAAAGAGAAAUAUAAUCAUGGAGAGAACAUAAAAAAGAUGCAACAUAAUUAUUACCAUCUUAACAUUAAAUAGAAGGAAAAAAAUAUGAAAUCAAUGCACAAUUUUUUUCGACAUUCACUCACACAAGCCAAUUAUAAUUUGAGAGCCUCCAUCUUAUCUUCAAGUCAAACUAAAAGACGAAUAUAAUAAGUCUCGAAAACUUAACAACUUAAAUGAUUAAAGACUACUGUGAUAACUUCUACAAAAUCUUAUAAUGUCUCUUUUAUAGGACUACAAUAUAUAUUACCAAAGGCAGAUAGCCUAGCUCUCUCUCUACUUUGUAAUAUACUAUGAAGAUAAAUAAAAGGCAGAUAGCCACUGUUUAAUACAGUUCAGGCUUUCCAUCCGGCCAGCUUCAAGGUACAUAGUUUUUCUUCUUUUAACUUACUUUUUAUACUUCUUUUUUCGAGCAGCUGUGACCAUUUCCGGCUAAGAAAAUUCUCAUGUCUAUGUUAAAAAUCUAGCUCCUAUCAUUAGAUAAUUAUGAAGAAUCCAGACUUUAUCUAAAUAUGAGAAAAUGUUAAAUAACUUCUAACUUGGUUCCAAAAUGGUGGUAUAGUCGAGUUUAAUAUGUUUUAGGUUGGCCUAGUCUCAGUGACUCCGUCUAGUAAGUUGUGCCUCUUUAGCCCGUAAAUUUGAUAGACACAAAGAGCAACUUUUUUCACAAUUAGAACUUCUAGACACAUGGGUUCGACUUAAGCAUAUUAAAUUGGGUAAAAGAUUUUCAUACAGUUAUUAAGCUAUUUGACAUUCCCUUAUAUUUCGACUGGUGUUUUUGGUUCGAUAUUUCGACUAAAGCUUAAACUGAUAUUCUUAUGAUAAGUCUGAAUGCAGCGUGGCUUACCCCUGCUUAAGGAUCCUUGUCUUAUGGUAUCAGAGAUUUCUUUUAAUAAUUCAAGGACAUUUUCAGUAGUUAAAAUUUGCACAUUUAAAUCUAAGUUUUCAAACUGAGAUUGCAAUUUAUAAAACAUGUCAUCAUAAACACAAGUAUUAUCAGGACAAUCAGGGCAAGCUUUUUCAUUUUCAUGAUUACUAUCAGAAGAUUCAGGCAAUUCAAUCUCAUUUUUUGAUUCAGAUUCAUAGUUGUAAUCAGACUUAGAACUAGAAGUAUAUGCCAAGCCAUAAAUUUAAUCAUGGAGUUCAUCAGUAAGAUCUAGAGACUUGAUUUUUUGGAGCUUACAAUUUGGAGCUAUAUGCCCAUAUGUUUGCAGUUGUAACACUUGAUUUUUGCUAAGUCUCUCUUAGACCUAUUUUUGGUAAAUCUCAUAGACUUACGACGGGCUUUUUGGGUCUCUCUUUCUUCUUUAGACCUUCGUCGGUAAUUUUUUUUUCUAUAAGACUUAGAAUGCCUAUGAGUUUUCUGUUGAGAGGUGAAAGCCUAUUGGUUCAUACCAAAUUGAUCACAGAAGUCUCCUAAUUGAGACUUUUCUCUAAACUUAUCCAUCUUAAUUUGUCUAUUCAAUUUAAAUUCAUUACAUAAAGCUAAACCCUCAUCAGUGGUAAUUGCUAUAAGCUGACCAUAAGUAUAAUAUUUCCAGGGUAUAUCAAUAGAUGAUUCCCUAAGUUUUUUUCUAACACUUUCAUCAAACAAAGGGGGGAGUCCACCUAUGAAUUUGUCCUUUCAGUAUUGAAGGUUAUUUUCAGGUAGGUCCAUAACUCAACUUAGAAAGGUAUCUUUAUACCACCUAAAUUCUCCUAAUUGUCUACAUCUAAGACCACUAAGAAGAGUAUGAGUAUUUUCACACUGGUUGGUAAACCUUCCUCCAAAAUGUUCAUAUGACAAGGAUCCUUAAGCAGGGGUAAGCCGCGCUGCAUUCAAACUUAUAUAAGAAUAUCGACUUAAGAUUUAGUCGAAAUAUCAAACCAAAAACACCAAUCGAAAUAUAAGAGAAUGUCAAAUAGCUUAAUAACUAUAUGGAAAUCUUUACCCAAACAAAGGGCCUGUCAGAGAUUUAAUAUGCUUAGGUCGAACCCAUGUGUCUAAAAGUUCUAAUUGUGCAAAAAGUCGCCCUUUGUGUUUAUCAAAUUUAUGGGCUAAAGAGGUACAACUUACUAGACGGAGUCACUGAGACCAGGCCAACCUAAGACAUAUUAAACUCGACUGUACCACCAUUUGGAUCCAAGUUAGAAGUUAUUUAACAUUUUCUCAUAUUUAGAUAAAGUCUAGAUUCUUCAUAAUUAUCUAAUGAUAGGAGUUAGAUUUUUAACAUAGACAUGAGAAUUUUCUAAAUAUGAAGAAAAUUCCGGUUAAAAAAAUUCUCAUGUCUAUCUUAAAAAUCUAACUCUUUUCAUUAGAUAAUUAUGAAGAAUCUAGACUUUAUCUAAAUAUGAGAAAAUAUUAAAUAGCUUCUAACUUGGUUCCAAAUGGUGGUACAGUCGAGUUUAAUAUGUCUUAGGUUGGCCUGGUCUCAGUGACUCUGUCUAGUAAGUUGUGCCUCUUUAGCCUGUAAAUUUGAUAGACACAAAGGGCGACUUUUUGCACAAUUAGAACUUCUAGACAUAUGGGUUCGACCUAAGCAUAUUAAAUCUCUAGCCCUUUGUUUGGGUAAAAUAUUUCCAUAUAGUUAUUAAGCUAUUUGACAUUCUCUUAUAUUUCGAUUGGUGUUUUUGGUUUGAUAUUUCGACUAAAGCUUAAGCCGUUAUUCUUAUAUAAGUCUGAAUGCAGCGUGGCUUACUCCUGCUUAAGGAUCCUUGUCAUAUGAACAUUUUGGAGGAAGGUUUACCAACCAGUAUGAAAAUACUCGUACUCUUCUUAAUGGUCUUAGAUGUAGACAAUUAGGAGAAUUUAGGUGGUAUAAAGAUACCUUUCUAAGUUGAGUUAUGGACCUACCCAAAAAUAACCUUCAAUACUGGAAGACUAAAUUCGUAGAUGGACUCCCUCCUUUGUUUGGUGAAAGGGUUAGAAAAAAACUUAGGGGAUCAUCUAUUGAUAUACCCUGGAAAGAUUAUACUUAUGGUCAGCUUAUAGCAAUUACCACUGAUGAGGGUUUAGCUUUAUGUAAUGAAUUAAAAUUGAAUAGACAAAUUAAGAUGGAUAGUUUAGAGAAAAGUCUCAAUUAGGAGGCUUCUGUGAUCAAUUCGGUAUGAACCAACAGGCUUUCACCUCUCAACAAAAAACUCAUAGGCAUUCUAAGUCUUAUAGAAAAAAGAAUUACCGACUACGGUCUAAAGAAGAAAGAGAGACCCAAAAAGCUCAUCGUAAGUCUACGAGAUUUACCAAAAAAAGGUCUAAGAGAGACUUAGCAAAAAUCAAGUGUUACAACUGCAAACAGUAUGGGCAUAUAGCUCCAUAUUGUAAGCUCCAAAAAAUCAAGUCUCUAGGUCUCACUAAUAAACUCCAUGAUCAAAUUUAUGGGUUGUUAUAUACUUCUGGUUCUGAGUCUGAUUACAACUAUGAAUCUGAGUCAAAAAAUGAGAUUGAAUUGCCUGAAUCUUCUGAUAGUAAUCAUGAAAAUGAAAAAGCUUGCCCUGAUUGUCCUGAUAAUACUUGUGCUUGUGAUAACAUGUUUUAUAAAUUGCAAUCUCAAUUUGAAUACUUAGAUUUAAAUGUGAAAAUUUUAACAGCUGAAAAUGUCCUUGAAUUAUUAAAAGAAAUUUCUAAUGAAAAACUGCGAGAAAAAAUUAUUAAUCUUGCUCCAAAAAAAUUUGCUGAUAGCAUUCCUAUUAAUUCUAAAACAGUUACUAAAAUCAUGACUAUGAUAUGCCUUAUUCUUUGGCCGAGGUUAAUCGACGCCUCGCUUUAAACAAAACCCUUGGUAGAGAUACUUCUUUUAAUGAUUUAAAAAUCGAGGUUGAAAAUCCGAGAAAAGAAAUUAUUUCUUUAAAACAAAAUCAAAUGAUUUGUGAUCACAGGAUUUCAAAAAUUGAAGAAAAAACAUCUCUUCAUGUUUCUCCUUAUGAUGUGCCUUCUACGUCGAAAGGUCCAGAAAUUACUGAAAAUAAUGAUGAUAUUAGCAUUCAAAAUCUGGAUAUAAAAAAUGAUUUGUUUUUAGGAAUUAUGCAAAUUGUUACCGCUCAUAAAUGGUAUAUUAAUUGCACUAUAUUGAUUAAUAAUGAUAUUUCUAUAACUAAUAUUGCUAUGAUUGAUAGUGGUGCAAAUGUUAGUUGCAUUCAACAAGGAUUAAUCCUUACUAGAUAUUUUCACAAAACUACUCAUAUCAUUAGAUUUGCCUCUGGACAUACUCUUGACAUUAAUUAUAAAUUGUCUAAUACAUAUGUCUGUAGAAAUAAGACUUGCAUUCCACAUUUUUUCUUUCUAGUAAAAAAUUAAUUAUAUCCCCCUAUUAUUUUAGGAACACCUUUUAUAAAUAUUAUCUACCUUUUUACCCAUCUUGAUGCAAAUGGUUUUCAAGCUACUUAUAAAAAUAAAAAAAAUCUUAUAUUCUUUUAUUACAGAUCCAGUAACAAGAGAUAUCAAUGCUUUGAUUGACAUGAAACAAACACAGUUAAAUUUCUUAUAAUUUGAAAUUAUGAGUAUGAAUGUUCAAAAUACAUCGAGUUCUGUGAAAAUACAAGAAAAAAUAAAAAUGAUUUCUGGUUAAUGAUUUUCUUGAGGUCUUUUCUGAUGACCUUUCUGAUAUUUCUCCUAAUAGGGAAAUUAAUUUUGGGAUUGAUCUUAUUCUGUACACUCGUCCUAUUUCCAUCCCUCCAUAUAGAAUAUCUCCGAUUGAGUUGAAGGAGCUUAAGGAGAAAUUGAAGGAUCUCUUCAAUAAAUGUUUUAUCCAUCCUAGUUUGACUUCUUGAGGUGCUCUGGUAUUGUUUAUGCGCAAGAAGAAUGGCUCCCUUCGGAUGUGCAUUGACUAUCGUUAGUUGUAUAGGAUGACCAUAAAUAAUAAGUAUCCUCUUUCUAGAAUCGAUGACUUAUUUGAUCAACUUCAAGGUGCGUAGUGUUUCUCUAAGAUUGAUCUUAGAUUGGGUUAUCGUCAGCUUAAGAUUAGGGAAGUAGAUAUCCCUUAGACUGCCUUAAGGACCUGGUAUUGUCAUUAUGAGUUCUUCUUUAUGUCUUUUGGGUUAACUAAUUCCCCCAUGACAUUUAUAGAAUUGAUGAAUAGGGUCUUCUAUUCAUUCCUAGAUUUUUUGUUCACUGUCUUCAUUGAUGAUAUCUUGGUCUAUUCAGGAAGGUCAUCAAAAAAGACCUCAAGAAAAAUUAGAUACCAUUGAUCAUAUAUACUUUUUCAUAGAGUCUUCGAUUAAUUUGAGUUUUUUGAUGACCAUUUUGGAAUAGCCAUGCACUUAUGGGGUUGUUUCGCUCAUUUGAUAGUGUUCAAUUUCACUACUUCCAGUAGAUAGUAGGAUUGACUCAUAAAAAGCUCUUGCUUUAUAAGAUUCACCUGCAAUAUAAAGGUUAGUGAUCAAGUAUUUUUGGAGUAGUCUCCAUGGAUCUUCUUGCUUACAUAUUUGAGUAUUUUCGACAAGAACUAUUAGUUCUCUAGUGUCAAGCUUUUCAUAGUUUUGCCUAUCGGCAUUAUUUUCUUGAACAAUUGAGGCAAACGAAUCCCUUUGCAUCGCAAACAUAUAGGAUUGAAGUUGUCCAUAUAAAGGGUGAUCUUCUGGAAUAUCUUCUAAAUGAAUUGAAGUGCUCAUAUGCUGGUUUUUGGAUGAUGAUUCAGCAAUUUGCAAAAUUUUUACAUUAAUUAAAGUUCUAUUUCCCUGUUGUAAUACCGGGAAAUUAGAAGAGGAAGAAAUGUAGGAAGAUGAAGAGAUGUUUCUGCCUCCGUAGUAAGAGGAACCUUAGCUUCUGCCGUCUUUUCGACGUCCUCUGGCCCUUUGCCAGGGUGGAUCAAUACUGCAUCAAAAGAUUAAAAUUUAUCAAAUGACGUAUCAAAGUCAGACCAGUCGAUUUCAUCUCUUAUUUCUUCAAAAUUUGGAAGAUAUAAGUCUUCUCUUAUCAUGUCAUGGACAAUUUUUCUUAGUAUUAAGAAAUGGAUAUCUUCGUUCAUAGAAAUACAUUUAACAAUUGUAAUAAUAGUUUUUUCGGAUAGGUAGAAAGUAUAAUAAUUCAUUCUCCUUGGCUCCUGCUCACAGUCAAAGAAUUGCCUGUAAAAAUUUUAUGAUUUAUUGAUAUAUUCAUGAGACAGAAAAUCAGGUAAAGAAUUUUUACUACCCUUUUUAUAUUGUAUUUCAAAAUCGAAAGGGGCCAGUUGAGGUUGCCACCUUGCAAAAAUUAGUUUAGAAGCAACAUGUUUAAAAUCUUUAUCAAACAUAUAUUUAACGAAUCGUGCGUCAGUUCGAACAAUGAAUUUUUGAUUAUAUAAAUCAUUUUGAAAUUUUAAAACACAUUUAACAAUCGUUAACAUUUCAUAAGCCACCGUAGCGUAUUUUUUCUGGCUUUCAGACCAUUUUCCUGAAUAAAAUCUAAUAAGAUUUUCAGAAUUAGUAUGGGGAUUCACUUGUUUUAGAAUUCCUCCGUAACCUAUGUUGGAAGCAUCAGUUUCUACGAUUUUUAACCAUGCAGGAUUCGCAAGGGUUAUACAAGGUAAAGACUCAACACGGUUUUUAAUCAUUUGGACUAGCUUAGUGUGAGUAGUAGUGCAAGGUUCUUUGUAAUUCUUUUUUAAUCUAUCAUACAAAGGUGCCAAAUCCUUGGAUAAGUUCUGAUAGAAAGGAGAAAUCUAAUUAAGACUUCCUAAUAAUUGAGUUUUAUAAGUGAUAAUAUCAGGGAUUUUUUUCGAAAAAUGUAAAGAUCUUUGUAUUGGUUUAAUUUUACCUUUAGAAAUAUUAUGUCCACAAAAUCGAAUAUAAGUUAGAGACAUUUUCGGUUUAGAAAUAACUAAACCAUUUUGUAUAACAAUUUGUUUGAAAAUAUUCAAGUGUUUAAAAUGUAAUUCUAUUGUUUUAGAAAAAAUAAGAAUAUCAUCUAUAUAAACAAUUAUAAAAUUUAUGUAGGGAUUGAAUAUAUCAUUCAUGAUUUUUUGGAAUUCGGAAGGAACAUUUUUCAAACCAAAAGGCAUAACAUUCCAUUCAUAUUGAUCAUAUUUUCUUGUAUUUUCAUAGAGCUCUGUGUAUUUUGAACAUUCAUACUCAUUAUCAAUAUGAUUAACCUCCAGAAUAGACCAAGAUGUCAUCAAUGAAGACAGUGACCAAAAAAUCUAGGAAUGAAUAGAAGACCCCAGUCAUCAAUUCUAUAAAUGCCUUGGGGGCAUUAGUCAACCAAAAAUACAUAAAACGGAACUCAUAAUGACUGUACAGGGUCCUUAAGGCAGUCUAAGAGAUAGCUACUUCCCUAAUCUUAAGCUGAUGAUAACCCAACCUAAGAUCAAUCUUAGAGAAACACUACGCACCUUGAGGUUGAUCAAAUAAGUCAUCGAUACCAGGAAGAGGAUACUUAUUCUUUAUGGUCAUCCUAUUCAACUAACGAUAGUCAAUGCACAUCCGAAGGGAGCCAUUCUUCUUGCGCACAAACAAUACCAGAGCACCCCAAGAAGUCAAACUAGGAUGGAUAAAACAUUUAUUGAAGAGAUCCUUCAAUUAAUCCUUAAGUUCCUUCAACUCAGUCGGAGAUAUUCUAUAUGGAGGGAUGGAAAUAGGACGAGUGUACAAAACAAGAUCCAUCCCAAAAUCA
rnacentral:lncRNA from 1 species